rnacentral:rRNA from 1 species
AGUGAACGCUGGCGGUAGACCUAACACAUGCAAGUCGAACGGCAGCACAGUAAGAGCUUGCUCUUACGGGUGGCGAGUGGCGGACGGGUGAGGAAUACAUCGGAAUCUACUUUUUCGUGGGGGAUAACGUAGGGAAACUUACGCUAAUACCGCAUACGACCUACGGGUGAAAGCAGGGGAUCUUCGGACCUUGCGCGAUUGAAUGAGCCGAUGUCGGAUUAGCUAGUUGGCGGGGUAAAGGCCCACCAAGGCGACGAUCCGUAGCUGGUCUGAGAGGAUGAUCAGCCACACUGGAACUGAGACACGGUCCAGACUACUACGGGAGGCAGCAGUGGGGAAUAUUGGACAAUGGGCGCAAGCCUGAUCCAGCCAUACCGCGUGGGUGAAGAAGGCCUUCGGGUUGUAAAGCCCUUUUGUUGGGAAAGAAAAGCAGCAGGUUAAUACCCCGCUGUUCUGACGGUACCCAAAGAAUAAGCACCGGCUAACUUCGUG